rnacentral:tRNA from 1 species
UCACUUUUAGUUUAUGUUAAGAAUACUAGUUUGUCGUGCUAGAGGUGAUGUCUGCGUUAAAGUGAG